GGGCUUGGAUUUUUUGCCUCCUGGGCUUUUUGAACAUCGCCCAUUUUGAUGGGGUAGGAGGUGUAGACUGUAGACCAUCCUCCUCCGCCGCCUGCUAUUGUCGGACAACCCGAACCGUGGGCAGCCGGCCGGUGAUUUCGGGAUCACAGCACCUUCUGCCGUGAUUUCGGCCGGUGUUAAAGCAGAUUGUACUGUCGCUCGUUUGAUCUGAAGCAUAGCGAGAACUUUAAAAAUCCAAAAAAAAAACCGUUAACUAAACGGAUAAACUAUUAGGAUUGGCCCAACCUUUUGUUGAAUCAGGAGAGAACUGGAGGGAAAGGCCUGUAGAGAAUCCGGACGGCGCUGCUCUUCAUUCCAGUUCUGCACGGGGGGACACCAAACCAUCAGACUACCCGAGCUUCCCAUCACCGGCAGCAGGCCAGCAGCAUCCGCGACGAUAAGGAGGAAAUCACUCCGGCCACCGUCACUCCAUGCCUAGCGAAGGUUGCGCCUUUUGAUCAAGAAACACUAGCCAUGGCCAUAGAAUGUCUGGUUCUGGGUGCUGGGCAAGAAGUUGGGAAGAGCUGUGUGGUUGUGACCAUCAAUGGCAAGCGAAUCAUGUUCGAUUGUGGAAUGCACAUGGGCUAUUUGGACCAUCGCCGAUACCCCGACUUCUCUCUCGUCUCCAAGCUCGGAGAUUUUGACGAUGCUCUCACUUGCAUCAUCAUCACUCAUUUUCACUUGGAUCACGUUGGAGCAUUACCUUAUUUCACGGAAGUUUGUGGUUAUCGUGGUCCUGUUUAUAUGACGUACCCAACAAAAGCCUUGGCUCCUUUGAUGUUGGAGGAUUAUCGUAAAGUGAUGGUUGAUCGUAGGGGAGAAGAAGAACAAUUUACUUCUGAACAUAUUGCGCAGUGUAUGAAGAAAGUUGUAGCUGUUGAUCUGAAGCAAACUGUGCAGGUUGAUGGAGAUCUUCAGAUUCGUGCCUACUAUGCAGGCCAUGUUAUUGGAGCAGCAAUGUUCUAUGUAAAGGUUGGGGAUGCAGAAAUGGUUUACACAGGUGACUACAACAUGACACCAGACAGACACCUUGGAGCAGCUCAAAUUGAUCGAUUACGUCUUGACCUUGUUAUAACUGAAUCCACAUAUGCAACUACAAUACGGGAUUCAAGAUAUAGCCGUGAGAGGGAAUUCCUGAAAGCUGUUCAUAAAUGUGUUUCUAGUGGAGGGAAGGUACUUAUUCCAACAUUUGCUCUUGGAAGAGCUCAGGAAUUAUGCAUUUUGUUGGAUGACUACUGGGAUCGCAUGAAUUUGAAAGUUCCUAUAUAUUUUUCAGCAGGUUUGACAAUCCAAGCCAAUAUGUACUAUAAGAUGCUCAUUAGUUGGACAAGCCAGAAGAUAAAAGACUCGUAUUCUACCCAUAAUGCAUUUGAUUUUAAAAAUGUUCACAAUUUUGAACGGUCUAUGAUAAAUGAUCCUGGUCCUUGUGUUCUUUUUGCCACCCCUGGGAUGAUAAGUGGUGGGUUUUCACUUGAAGUAUUUAAGCAUUGGGCACCUUCAGAGAAGAACCUUGUCACAUUGCCUGGGUAUUGUGUUGCUGGAACAAUAGGACAUAAGUUGAUGUCAGGUAAGCCCACCAAAAUUGACCUGGAUCAAGAUACCCAAAUAGAUGUGCGUUGCCAGGUACUUGGUUAUCUCCUACCCAACUUUCCUUUUGGAAGAUGUAUCUUUUUCGACAGUACUCCAGUAAGGGAUAUUUAUGUAAUUGUGCAACACUACUCAAUAUCAUUCCACUGAAACUGAUCGAUACAUAUAGAGGGAGAGCAGUCAAUUAAAUCGCAUAGAAUCCUCUCUCACUAAUUGACAAAAUAAAUCAAAGAUAUUAUUAAAGAUAGAGAUAACAAGCUGCUGAAUGCUAAAACUAGAGUUACAGAGUAAACCCAAUAGGAAAAAGCCCACUUUCAUCCCUUCCUUUAAACUGGCGAAUAGAUGUUGAUGAUUCCAAACUUGUUAAUGAACUCAUCAAACUUAGUUCCGACAAGAGGUAUGGUUAUCAUAUCCACAACUUGCUUUCCUGAUGAGACGUAGGUACGUUCUAUCACCUGAUCUUCAAUUUUCUUCUUAAUAAAAAGUCAAUCAAUUCCAACAUGCUUCCUGCAAUCAUGUUGUACAGGGUUAUUUGCAAUCUUGAGGGCAACCAUACUAGAAACAUCACAUCUUAUUUGGUGCAACCAUUUCUAUACCAAGUUCUUUCAACAAGCGCACAACCCAUACCCUUUUACAAAUUCCGAGAGUCAAUUCUCUAUAUUCGGAUUCUGCAGAGCUUCUUGACACUGCUGGCUAAUUCUUAAUCCUCCAAGUCACAUUAGCCUGAACAAAAGUGCAGUACACUGUGGUAGAGCACCUAUCAUCAAUUGCAUCCGCCUAAUCAAUAUUAGUGUAUAUCUCUACGAUUCCCUGUGGUUGGUGACUUGGUGUCAUUUUGUUCACAUCUGUGUAAACCUCUACACUCAAUUGCAUCCCUUGCCUAGAGUCGUCUUGAGGUAUCUAAGGAUCCGAUAUGCAGCUUCCAUAUGUUUCUUUUGAGGAUUGCUUCCAAACUGGCUUACGACGCCCACUGCAAAAGAUAUACUGGCCUUGUGUGGGAUAAAUAGAUCAACUUUUCACCAAUUUCUGGUUCAUCAACUGGCUUUUAGUCCUCACACUGACGCUAAAGGUAUAAUGGACCUCAUAAAAUUUCUCUCCCCCAAGCAUGUUA